rnacentral:rRNA from 1 species
UACGUAGGUGGCGAGCGUUGUCCGGAAUUACUGGGUGUAAAGGGCGUGCAGGCGGGACUGUAAGUCAGAUGUGAAAUUCCCAGGCUUAACCUGGGCGCUGCAUCUGAAACUAUGGUUCUUGAGUGUCGGAGAGGAAAGCGGAAUUCCUAGUGUAGCGGUGAAAUGCGUAGAUAUUAGGAGGAACACCAGUGGCGAAGGCGGCUUUCUGGACGAUAACUGACGCUGAGGAGCGAAAGCGUGGGGAGCAAACAGG